AUUGAACGCUGGCGGCAUGCUUUACACAUGCAAGUCGAACGGUAACAGGUUAAGCUGACGAGUGGCGAACGGGUGAGUAAUGCAUCGGAACGUGCCCGGUCGUGGGGGAUAACACUUCGAAAGAAGUGCUAAUACCGCAUACGAUCUGAGGAUGAAAGCGGGGGACCGUAAGGCCUCGCGCGAUCGGAGCGGCCGAUGUCAGAUUAGGUAGUUGGUGGGGUAAAGGCCCACCAAGCCGACGAUCUGUAGCUGGUCUGAGAGGACGACCAGCCACACUGGGACUGAGACACGGCCCAGACUCCUACGGGAGGCAGCAGUGGGGAAUUUUGGACAAUGGGCGCAAGCCUGAUCCAGCAAUGCCGCGUGCAGGAAGAAGGCCUUCGGGUUGUAAACUGCUUUUGUACGGAGCGAAAAGGCUCUCUCUAAUACAGGGGGCUGAUGACGGUACCGUAAGAAUAAGCACCGGCUAACUACGUGCCAGCAGCCGCCGUAAGAC
rnacentral:rRNA from 1 species